GACAGAGGAUGCAAGCGUUAUCCGGAAUGAUUGGGCGCAAAGCGUCUGUAGGUGGCUUUUUAAGUCUGCCGUCAAAUCCCAGGGCUUAACCCUGGACAGGCGGUGGAAACUACCAAGCUGGAGUACGGUAGGGGCAGGGGGAAUUUCCGGUGGAGCGGUGAAAUGCGUAGAGAUCGGAAAGAACACCAACGGCGAAAGCACUCUGCUGGGCCGACACUGACACUGAGAGACGAAAGCUAGGGGAGCGAAUGGG
rnacentral:rRNA from 1 species